CAUAGGUAAAUUCCCAUUAAACAAAUAAGUAAAUGGAGAUGUGCCCUUUAACAAUAUGAUGUGCCCUUUAACAACAUGAAACAAAAGUGACACUGAACACCGAAAUUACAGACAGUGAAAACAGAAACCUCCUUUCUAUAGUUCCGAGUAAAUUUGUGUUUGCAUUCUAUUACAGUUGUGUGACACUCUACUUUAUGCAUGGUUGAGUACUAGCUCACUUUACUUGUAAUUACCAUUAAGUUGUUCCUGAGUUUUGUUCCUCCGGGUGAUUGCAACGUGUGCGCGUUUCGGCACAGUUAACCAUUUUUGGGCCGUUUUUACAAACGCGGAAGUGUUUUAGUCGUAAUUGUAGAGACGUCGAGUGGACCUAGGUCCACUUAGUACCAGGCAGUUUUGAAGUAAGAUUCUUUACAAAAUAGGUAUUUGUGACAUUGGAUGCUAGGCGCUUGGCCACUAUAACACAUUGGUGGUUACCACAGCAACGAUGAGGUUCGCAAUGAUAAAUGCAGCCAUGAGGAUGGUCAGGAUGAAGAAGCAACAAGCAGAUAUGUAAGUGAACUUAUCCUCCUCAGCGUACCUCUCAAAGUUGCGGAAGAUUUGCAUCCACCCAUCCUACAGACAAAUAUAGAGAACAUGCAUUUGAUGGGAUCUCCAAAGUACUCGGGCACAUACUUUCCAAACAACUUUACACCAACCACGCUG